UACGUAGGGGGCUAGCGUUGUCCGGAAUCAUUGGGCGUAAAGCGCGCGUAGGCGGCCCGGUAAGUCCGCUGUAAAAGUCAAAGGCUCAACCUUUGAAUGUCAGUGGAUACUGCCGGGCUAGAGUCCGGAAGAGGCGAGUGGAACUCCUGGUGUAGCGGUGGAAUGCGCAGAUAUCAGGAAGAACACCAACGGCGAAGGCAGCUCGCUGGGACGGUACUGACGCUGGGGCGCGAAAGCGUGGGGAGCGAACAGG
rnacentral:rRNA from 1 species